UAUAUAUAUGUUUGAAAUGAAGUGCAAGGUUUUUAAAUUUAAUUGUUUUUAAUGUAAAUAUUUACUUAAGUACCAUGAGUAAAAUUUGGUAUAAAUUGGGUCAUAUGUAUUGUAAGAUAUAUAUUUUUACUGUAAAUAUUUUAAGUGUUUUAGUAUCAAUAAUGACUACUGCUUUGACUUUCAAAAUAACAAUUAUUUUAGAUGUUGAGUCUCUUAAUUUACAGUAAGGUUAAUUUGGCCUUUUUUAAUUUUGAAGGGUACGCUAGCUGGGAUUUUGAUUGGUCUGGCUCAGUUAAACUGCUCUGAACUAAAGCUCAAGAGGCUUUCCUAUCGACAUGGUUUACUAGGCGUUGACAAAUUAUUCUCAUAUGCAAUCACUGAGUGGCUUAAUGACAUUAAGAAGAACCAGCUACCAGGAAUCCUGGGAGGUGUUGGACCUAUGCAUUCACUAGUACAAUUAGUACAAGGCCUAAAGGACUUGG
rnacentral:lncRNA from 1 species